rnacentral:lncRNA from 10 species
UGUAUGAGUGUGUUGUACGUGCAUGCUGUGUUGAGUUGCAUGUAUUGUGUGUACGUUGUAUGAGUGUUGUGUUGUAUGAGU